rnacentral:rRNA from 1 species
ACCUUUACUAUAGCUUGACACUGAACAUUGAGCCUUGAUGUGUAGGAUAGGUGGGAGGCUUUGAAGUGUGGACGCCAGUCUGCAUGGAGCCGACCUUGAAAUACCACCCUUUAAUGUUUGAUGUUCUAACGUUGACCCGUAAUCCGGGUUGCGGACAGUGUCUGGUGGGUAGUUUGACUGGGGCGGUCUCCUCCUAAAGAGUAACGGAGGAGCACGAAGGUUGGCUAAUCCUGGUCGGACAUCAGGAGGUUAGUGCAAUGGCAUAAGCCAGCUUGACUGCGAGCGUGACGGCGCGAGCAGGUGCGAAAGCAGGUCAUAGUGAUCCGGUGGUUCUGAAUGGAAGGGCCAUCGCUCAACGGAUAAAAGGUACUCCGGGGAUAACAGGCUGAUACCGCCCAAGAGUUCAUAUCGACGGCGGUGUUUGGCACCUCGAUGUCGGCUCAUCACAUCCUGGGGCUGAAGUAGGUCCCAAGGGUAUGGCUGUUCGCCAUUUAAAGUGGUACGCGAGCUGGGUUUAGAACGUCGUGAGACAGUUCGGUCCCUAUCUGCCGUGGGCGCUGGAGAACUGAGGGGGGCUGCUCCUAGUACGAGAGGACCGGAGUGGACGCAUCACUGGUGUUCGGGUUGUCAUGCCAAUGGCACUGCCCGGUAGCUAAAUGCGGAAGAGAUAAGUGCUGAAAGCAUCUAAGCACGAAACUUGCC